rnacentral:rRNA from 1 species
UACGUAGGGGGGCAAGCGUUGUCCGGAAUCAUUGGGCGUAAAGCGCGUGUAGGCGGUCCGAUUAGUCGGCUGUGAAAGUCAAGGGCUCAACCCUUGAAUGCCGGUCGAUACUGUCGGACUAGAGUCCGGAAGAGGCAAGUGGAAUUCCCGGUGUAGCGGUGAAAUGCGCAGAUAUCAGGAAGAACACCCGUGGCUAAGGCGGCUCUCUAGUACGGUACUGACGCUGAGACGCGAAAAGCGUGGGGGAGCGAACAGG